AACGAACGCUGGCGGCAGGCCUAACACAUGCAAGUCGAACGCUCCGCAAGGGGAGUGGCGCACGGGUGAGUAACACGUGGGAACCUACCUUCUGGUACGGAACAACCAAGGGAAACUUUGGCUAAUACCGUAUACGACCUCCGGGUGAAAGAUUUAUCGCCGGAAGAGGGGCCCGCGUCCGAUUAGGUAGUUGGUGAGGUAACGGCUCACCAAGCCGACGAUCGGUAGCUGGUCUGAGAGGAUGACCAGCCACACUGGGACUGAGACACGGCCCAGACUCCUACGGGAGGCAGCAGUGGGGAAUAUUGGACAAUGGGCGCAAGCCUGAUCCAGCCAUGCCGCGUGAGUGAUGAAGGCCUUCGGGUUGUAAAGCUCUUUCACCCACGACGAUGAUGACGGUAGUGGGAGAAGAAGCCCCGGCUAACUUCGUGCCAGCAGCCGCGGUAAUACGAAGGGGGCAAGCGUUGUUCGGAAUGACUGGGCGUAAAGGGCGCGUAGGCGGUUCGUUGCGUCAGAUGUGAAAGCCCCGGGCUCAACCUGGGAACUGCAUUUGAUACGGGCGAGCUUGAAUCCAAGAGAGGGUGGUGGAGUUCCCAGU
rnacentral:rRNA from 1 species